rnacentral:rRNA from 1 species
UACGUAGGGUGCAAGCGUUGUCCGGAAUUAUUGGGCGUAAAGAGCUCGUAGGCGGUCUGUCGCGUCUGCUGUGAAAACUCGGGGCUUAACCCCGGGCCUGCAGUGGGUACGGGCAGACUAGAGUGCGGUAGGGGAGACUGGAAUUCCUGGUGUAGCGGUGAAAUGCGCAGAUAUCAGGAGGAACACCGGUGGCGAAGGCGGGUCUCUGGGCCGUAACUGACGCUGAGGAGCGACAGCGUGGGGAGCAAACAGG